CGGUGAGCAUGGCAUCUUUCAAUGUUAGAUUGAAGUUUUCAAGCGGUUUGGUUCCACCCCAUUUUUUUGGGUCCCCACCCAAUCCCCAGUUUUGGAUUUCCAGACCGUUUUUUUUAUACCCCGUUCUUUCGGAUCUCGUAAUUGGAAUGAGUACAAUUUAAAUCUCUUAACGAGGAACAAUUGGAGGGCAAGUCUGGUGCCAGCAGCCGCGGUAAUUCCAGCUCCAAUAGCGUAUAUUAAAGUUGUUGCAGUUAAAAAGCUCGUAGUUGAAUUUCGGGGUUAGUAGGUUGGUCGUGCCACCGGUAUGUACUGGCUUUACUGAUCCCUCCUUCUUGUAGAACCGUAAUGCCAUUAACUUGGUGUUGCGGGGAAACAGGACUGUUACUUUGAAAAAAUUAGAGUGUUUAAAGCAGGCUAACGCUUGAAUACAUUAGCAUGGAAUAAUGAAAUAGGACGAUCGAUCCUAUUUUGUUGGUUUCUAGGAUUGACGUAAUGAUUAAUAGGGAUAGUUGGGGGCAUUAGUAUUCAAUUGUCAGAGGUGAAAUUCUUGGAUUUAUUGAAGACUAACUACUGCGAAAGCAUUUGCCAAGGAUGUUUUCAUUAAUCAAGAACGAAAGUUAGGGGAUCGAAGACGAUCAGAUACCGUCGUAGUCUUAACCAUAAACUAUGCCGACUAGGGAUCGGAUGAUGUUAAUUUUUUAAUGACUCAUUCGGCGCCUUACAGGAAACCAAAGUGUUUGG
rnacentral:rRNA from 1 species